rnacentral:rRNA from 1 species
UUUCCAGACUCCUACGGGAGGCAGCAGUGGGGAAUAUUGCACAAUGGGGGAAACCCUGAUGCAGCAACGCCGCGUGAGUGAGGAAGUAUUUCGGUAUGUAAAGCUCUAUCAGCAGGGAAUAGAAAAGAAGGUACCUGAAAAAGAAGCCCCGGCUAACUACGUGCCAGCAGCCGCGGUAAUACGUAGGGGGCAAGCGUUAUCCGGAUUUACUGGGUGUAAAGGGAGCGUAGACGGCGGUGCAAGCCAGAUGUGAAAGCCCGGGGCUCAACCCCGGGACUGCAUUUGGAACUGUGCUGCUAGAGUGUCGGAGAGGCAGGCGGAAUUCCUAGUGUAGCGGUGAAAUGCGUAGAUAUUAGGAGGAACACCAGUGGCGAAGGCGGCCUGCUGGACGAUGACUGACGUUGAGGCUCGAAAGCGUGGGGAGCAAACAGGAUUAGAUACCCUAGUA